rnacentral:rRNA from 1 species
AUACGUAGGGUGCAAGCGUUAAUCGGAAUUACUGGGCGUAAAGCGUGCGCAGGCGGUUUUGUAAGACAGAGGUGAAAUACCCGGGCUCAACCUGGGAACUGCCUUUGUUACUGCAAGGCUAGAGUACGGCAGAGGGGGCUGGAAUUCCGCGUGUAGCAGUGAAAAGCGUAGAUAUGCGGAGGAACACCGAUGGCGAAGGCAAUCCCCUGGGCCUGUACUGACGCUCAUGCACGAAAGCGUGGGGAGCAAACAGGAUUAGAUACCCUGGUAGUCCACGCCCUAAACGAUGUCAACUGGUUGUUGGGUCUUAACUGACUCAGUAACGAAGCUAACGCGUGAAGUUGACCGCCUGGGGAGUACGGCCGCAAGGUUGAAACUCAAAUGAAUUGGCGGGG